rnacentral:rRNA from 1 species
AUUGAACGCUGGCGGCAUGCCUUACACAUGCAAGUCGAACGGUAACGGGCCUUCGGGUGCCGACGAGUGGCGAACGGGUGAGUAAUACAUCGGAACGUGCCCGAUCGUGGGGGAUAACGAGGCGAAAGCUUUGCUAAUACCGCAUACGAUCUACGGAUGAAAGCAGGGGACCGCAAGGCCUUGCGCGGACGGAGCGGCCGAUGGCAGAUUAGGUAGUUGGUGGGAUAAAAGCUUACCAAGCCGACGAUCUGUAGCUGGUCUGAGAGGAUGAUCAGCCACACUGGGACUGCGACACAGCCCAGACUCCUACGGGAGGCAGCAGUGGGGAAUUUUGGACAAAGGGCGCAAGCCUGAUCCAGCCAUGCCGCGUACAGGAUGAAGGCCUUCGGGUUGUAAACUGCUUUUGUACGGAACGAAAAGCCUUCUUUUAAUACAGGAGGGUCAUGACGGUACCGUAAGAAUAAGCACCGGCUAACUACGUG